UAAGUUUUAAAAUGACUCAGUCUCCGCUCGAUAUCGGCCGUGCACAGUCAUGUUACCAGUUAUUCAGUGUUUGUUUACAUAAUACUAAAUAUAUCGAUGAUCUGUGUCAGUUUACGAAAUAACAAAAGAUUCGCAAAAACAUGCAAAUAAAUCGGAGACAUUGAAACCACGAAAAACACGAACGAACGAAAUGUGUUCCCACUAACUCUUAACCUGAACGCAUCCAAAAUAGAAAGAGAAAGAAACAGCGCAAUAGAGCUGCGUCCCAAAAUAGUGCGUUCGAAAAUAGAAAAAAAAUGCCUAGCUCCCAAUCAGUUACCGAAAAGAGCGCGGCGGGUGCGGACGCCGCACUGUGGUGGCAAACACCAUGGAAAGCUAUGGCCGACCUAGCCGAAGCAGUUGACGACCUCAUAUGUAGCUUCGAUUACAUGGACACAGCCAUGGACAACCUAGUCAUGCUGAUCUUCAUAUGGAUUCUGUUCUCCAUCGUGCUCCUCGGCAUAGCGAAAUGGGCGUACGCCCGCUUCGCCAAUAAGGCUGUCGAGGUCGACACAAAACAAAAGCCAACGACAGAUGAGACGAAAAAAACAACGAACGAAAUAAUAAACAGUGCUGAUAGUGUAUUAGCUACUAGUGCUAAAGUUAAAAGUGCCUCGUUUAAGCCUGCUAAGCCGACUGGGUUCGUCCCGGCAACCCCGCCGAACAAGCGGCGCUUGGGCCGCAUGUCCCCAGGCCCCGAACAGCUGACGUUAAAAAAGCAUCAAAGCGUGCUAGUACCAACAUGUACGGGACCCGACCCGCCGAGUGUGCAAUGGGUGAACGACCUAUUGACGUGGUUAUAUAAUGAUCUAGUUAUUGUGAAUGAACUAGUACAGCAAUGGAUUGUGUCCAUGAACGAGUUCUCCAAGAAGUCCGUGGAGGAGCAAGGUAUCGGCGUGGAGCUGGUGCGAGCUCUGGACAGUCAUCCGCCCAACAUCUCCAACGUGUUCUGCGAGUGUGACUCCAAGGAUGAUGUCACGAUCACAUGUGACUGUGAAGCCACCCCCGCCUUCCAGCUGAAGGCAUUCAGCCAGCGAGGGGAAAAGGUAGAAGUCUCACACUACAGAGUCAAUGUUAAUAGGUUCCGCGCCCGUUUGAACGUGGUGUGCGUGACGGACAAGUUGACGGGCGAGCUGAAAUGCGACGGCUGGCCCGAAGUAAAGGUGGCACUGGCGCCAGUGGGUGCGCUGCGGCCUAAUGCUACCGAGAGUAAUAUGCAACAGCUUAUCAGUGACAUAGUAGUGAACGCGCUACGCAGCACGAACCUGCAGUUCAGCUUAGCGCAGUACCCGACGUGCCCGCGUCUGCGCCGGUACGUCGAGACGCCCGGGCCCCGGCUGCCGCUGCACUAUGAUUCUAUGCUACAACAAGACAGACAAAUGUACACAUCUACCCCCAACUCGACGGCCGGCAGCGUCACCCUGCUCGGAGACAAGAGGCUGCUCGUCAAGCUGGUCUGCGCCAAGGACUUGGGAGGUAAAACCGGUUGCAUAGCUCCUUACUGCGUGGUGGAGAUGGAUGAGCCUCCGCAGAAGAAUCAGACGGCUUUCAAGAAGGAUACCAACAACCCACAGUGGGAGGAACACUUCUUAUUUGACCUGUCCCCGCAGACGGCAGAGCUUCUGUUCGAGGUGUAUGAUCGCACCGGUCCUCCGUCUCCCGGGGGAGGACCCUCGCAGAACAGGUUCCUAGGCCUGGGUCUGGUGGGAAUAGACGAGCUGCUGGCGGCACCGUCACAGCGCCAACAGAUCGCGCUGCAGACGCGGCCCAUGGAGGAACAUGACGUCAGUGGCACACUCACUGUCGAGUUCCUCUUCAUCGAGGGUGCCGACAUCCCGGACCUGGGCUCCCGGCCCGUCAAGAUCAAGGAGAGUCUGCGGACACUGUCGCCACAUGGACACCUCACCACUACCACUAAGACUAUCUUCAAGCAAAAUGGCCAUGACAACUCCCAGUUGACGGAGUCAGCUCUCCGAGAGCUGGAACUGAGCCCCACCAGCGCCGCCAACAAAUCCACGCUCAUCAUACACUCUGUGCAGAGGGAACCGAAGAAAUCCAUUAAGGUGGAAAUAACCGAUUCGGGGAAAUUCAUCGAAGUGGAGAGAGCGGAAGCGGAUACCGAAGUACCUCAAGAGAGUGGUAAAAUAGAUGAGAGUGAGACAGAGUCGGAGUUGCCAGUUUCCCCCAGUCCUAACGCGUCGCCUGGCAAGACUGUCAGGAUCAAGGAGAAUGGUGCUAAAGCAAAUGGUGAUACCGAGCAGGGUGACUACGUGCAGCAUCAGAACGAGAGCUCGCCGCCCGAGCCUGCGCCCCGCAAACGGAGGCGGGACUUCUUCGGUACUAUUAAGAGAAGACUGGGCCGGUCCCGCACUCGCGGUGCCUCUCUGGACCUGACAGACUCGGAGGUGGAGAACCAGAGCCGCAUCCGCAGCAUCAGCGCAGAGAGGAACGCCCAUGAGAAAGCGCUAUCGAUCCCCAACAGGAACGUGUACUCCGCCGGCGCGUCGCCCGCGCAGUCCGGGGACGAGUCACGCACCUCCAGGAGGUCAUCUCUUAGCGAAGUGUCCGGAUUCAGCACAGCAUCAGCUAGGACGUUCAUCCACGAGGCUUCGACCCUGGUGCUGGAGACCAUAGAAGCUGGUAUCAAGAAGCACUACUUGGUGCCGCUGACCAUCGCCCAGAGAUCAAGAUGGCGGCGGAAGGGCAUUAAGCUUCAUAUCUAUAAUGAGCAUACUUUUAUUGCUAAACAUCUUAGUGGUGGCACAGUUUGCGAAGUGUGUACUAAGACUAUAGCGCGGCGGCUCGGCAAGCAAGGCUACGAGUGUCGCGACUGUACGCUCAAGUGCCACAAGCAUUGCCACGUCAAAGUGGCAACCAAUUGCCCCCGGUCCACCGUGCACAAUAUGGAGCUAUCCAUGCUCCCUGUGUUAAGUGAAUAGUCAAGCUAAGCGAGAAGACUGCAAGAAAAAAUUAUAAAAAAAUACAAAAAAAAAUUUAAACAAGCAAUUUUCACUCAGGUUCUUUAAAACUAUUGAAAAGAGGUGUUACAUUGGCUGAAGUGCGCAGAUAAGGAUUUUAUAUACAAAAAGGACUUACAUCGCAUCUCCGUACACAGACAAAAAUAUAAGGAUGUUGUGAUAGUUCAUAAAGAAGCUUGCGAUAUGCACAAAGCAUCGUUUUUAAAAAUCUACUUAAAUUAUUAAAAAAAAACUAAGUACAACACUAUGUACCCAGCUGACAUAUACAAUAUAUAGGCUUUUUUACAUAUGUUUAUAUGAAAAAAUGAAGUUUAAAAAUUAGAUUUUAAGUAAAUCGUAGGAUUUCUAAGCGUCGCUGACUAUUUAAAAUCUUUAAAAAUGUUACCCGCUUGUCUAUGUAGGAAAAUGUUUUAUUCAGAUGUAAUGGAAUUAAGACACAAUAUACUGCUCUGUUGAAUAUAAACGUGGAUUAAGAUUUAAUGAUAGCUUAUACAAAAAGUUGGCCGACUGUUUGGCAAGUGUUGCGCCGCUUCCGUCUGAGUAAAUCAGGUUCCCUUGGCGUAAAUUGUUAGACUUAGUUUAGGUAUCGCUAGAGCCCACCAUCAAAGCCAAUUUCGAAGCAAAAUAUUAGAUUUCAUUACCACAUAAUAAUAAUUAUAAAUGUCAGCCAAAAAUUAAGAAUUUCACACAAAAUUUUCUACCUCAUUUCUUCAAAGUUACGACAAUAUUAAAAAAAGAAUUAUAGUUACCAUUACAUAUUAUCUUUUUGUUUAUUUUGUUGUUGAAAACACUGAAUGUUUUUUUUAUUAAAAAUGAAAUUGUAUAACUCGAAAUAUUUAUUUUUUAGUUUUAAUAAAUGUGCUUUUUCGCACAAAAUGUGAUCUGUAAUCGUCGAAUGUGCAAUAAGUCUAAUAUUUAAUAAUAAACACGCGCUUUGAGCUUUCAAAUUUAUACCUUACUAUCUUAGAAAAUAAAUAAUUGGCCAUAAAUUGACAGUGACCACCUAGUAGUUUUUGAAAUUAUAACUGGAGAACAUACCCUAUAUUGAACAUAUUCAAUAAUGUAACUGCUCAGUUUAGUCGAUUAUAACAUCCAUUUUAUUCGACUAAUCAUAAUCGAAUCAGAAUCGAUUAUUCCCUAACUUUAAGCCAAGACAUGCCUACAUUUUCAAAUUAAAGCUACACUCAGUAGUUCAAGCGCAAUAAAGCGACGUGGACCAUUCAGGAAUACGAAAAUCUCAAUCUCCAGUAAUAAUUUAGAUUAAAUCGUAUGUAAGAACGCGUAUUGUUGAUUUUUUGUUCAUUAGAGUGACUGAAUUGUAAAGGUAUUGCUACAAAUAUUUUGUGCCUUAGUUUCCCUCCUUAAAACAUAAAUUAGGUAUAGGAUCAGAAGUAUGGUACUAAUUACUUACUGCACAUAUUACAAUGCUAGAGAUGUUUAGUCGAUUUUAUUGCCAGAGUGUGCCUAAAUACAUGAUUUAAUAAUCGACUAAUUUUUUUACCGUUUUACAAGUUGUAAGUUAUAUCGAAAUAUACAUUUUUAAUAUUAUAAUCCUAGUCGAUUAGUGUUCUCCGGAGCCAAGUACAUAAUAUUUGUAGCACAUUUUUUUAAGUUAAAAUUAAUGUUCAUAUUAAUUAAUACAUGACAAACCAUAAGUGUAUCUUUGUAUACUAAGAUUGUUAACGCAUAAUGUUUUAUGUGGAUCCAUAUAAAAUAUACUAUUAUUAUUAUUUAUAAAUGUUGCGCUAUGUGUUCUAUGUAAUUUUAUUUUUCCUCUUUUUUUAAUAAAAUGCCUUUUUUCAA